AGCUUUCGCGGCGGAUGGGAACCCCCCGGCACGCGAGCAAUUUCGUUUUAUUAUUGCAUUUCGUGCUGCGUUGCUUCGCUUUGCGUUACACUGCGCUGUUUUAUUGUAGGCCGCCCAUUGGGAAGAUCCGUGCUGGCUCUCAGGGGAUUCAAAUCGGCCCUUAAUGCGGGGUAGCUCCUAACGUGGGCGCAGCUGAGCAGGGCACGGCGAUGGAGCAGCUUACGCUUAAUGCUGCUGCAGACCUCAGCCUUAAGGAACAGGACAGCGGCUCGCCCUGGGGUUCGUCUGCUCGUGUCACUGUCAUCUGUCAUGACACACUCGCGCGGGACCCAGCUGCUUACGCUGGGAAAGAAGAAAUGUGAAAAUAAUUGGUUGAUGCUUAUGUGGCUCCUUAGGCUACACCUGCACAGCCCUUUUCGGGGCUCUCUAUUUGAAGAAUCAUUAACCUUACAUAUACAUACUGCCCUGUAUCUUAGAUAAUGUGCCCUUCUGCCGUUAACCUUUACAUAAUGCAAGUGGGAAAAAAAGCCUCAUCACUACUGAGCGCGUCCGAGUGCAGCCUGGCUGCAGUUUAACGAUGAUACUGAAAGCGUCGUCAUGUUUUGGUAUACUCCUUUCUGAGGUGAGAUUGAUCCUCCUAGAAUCUUUUCAACUCCGGGUUUUUAGCGAUGCAAAAAAGCAAACAAACAAACAAACAAACAAAAAAACCCCGAUGCAGCAAAAUGCGCGAGGGCUGGGCUGUGAACACAGAGCUGCUCUGUGCUGCUGAGAAGCAGCCGCCAAGCGGAGUGAGCACGGCGAGCACCAGCUCCGGCACACGCAGGGCUCUGGCUGCUGCCUGCGCUCAGCACGGCGCUGCCUCCAGCUUCUCCCAGCAGUGCUGGCAGGGCCUCAGCCUGGGCACGCUGCUUGGCCGUGUGCUGUGUUGUGCUUGCAGGGGGUAGCCUCGGGCAGCGUGCUACCAGCAUUAUGAGGGAUUUAAGGGGGGAGAGAGAAAAGCGUGGCUCCUAGCAUAAGAUUCACGCAGCAAAGGCCCUGUAAGGGAAAGCCCCAUAUCCCUGGAACACGAGUGCAGACAUAUUGUUAGGGGGUAGAAAGGCAGUAAUUAGGGCUGGGGACCGAUCGCACUUCGUUGCCAGAGGAGGUUAUUCUCACCAUGGAUACACAGCCAGCUCUGUUUUACUCUGUCAUUUUUGCUUUUGAGCCUGCUGGAAACCUUGGAGAAGUGACAAACGGGACUCAGAAGCGUGCAAGAAAAGUUACUUCUGGGCAAAACAUCAUCCAUCAGGAUACCACUUACAGUGUAUUUUGGUAGAAGUCCCCAAAUUACAGUUCUUCAAAAUUAAAAUAAAGAUCACGCAUAAUAUGGGCAGCUUGUUUCUGGAUUUCACAGAGCUCCCAUCUUUUGCUGCAAGCUGCUUCUAAUGUUGC
rnacentral:lncRNA from 7 species